UACGGAGGGUCCAAGCGUUAUCCGGAAUGAUUGGGCUUAAAGGGUCCGUAGGCGGUUUUGUAAGUCAGUGGUGAAAGCCCAUCGCUCAACGGUGGAACGGCCAUUGAUACUGCAAGACUUGAAUUAUUGGGAAGUAACUAGAAUAUGUAGUGUAGCGGUGAAAUGCUUAGAGAUUACAUGGAAUACCAAUUGCGAAGGCAGGUUGCUGCGAAUAUAUUGACGCUGAUGGACGAAAGCGUGGGGAGCGAACAGG
rnacentral:rRNA from 1 species